GUUUAAUUAAAGAGGCCGUUACUACAUCUGAAAAAUGCUGAUAAGAGUGCUAAGAAAAUAUCUGGAUAUUUUAAGGAUUGUUAAAAUAUCUGUUAUGUUUUACUACCUCAGAGCUUCAACCCGAUCUCUCUCACGAGCUGAAUCCUCUUCCUCAGGCUUCUUCUCCUCUCCGUUGUUCUCUGAUUCACUCCUCUGUUCAUCCUCCUCUUCAACUAAGUCCCCACCACGUUUCUGCAGUCGUCUUUUAUGGUGGUAUCGAUGCGAUGGUUUCCAUAUACGCUUUUCUCUUGCUUCCUCAUCUGUUUCAUGUCUUUUAUUAAUAUCCCAAGACUCUUGGCUUCGAUCUUCAUCAGCAAUCUCUUUUGCGUCCUCAGAAAGUUCCUCAUCACGUUUCCCUCUUCUUUGGUGAUACCUCCCGGGUUUCCAUUUCCUCUUCUCAAUUCCAUCGCCUAAAUCCCACGACUCUUGACUGCGGUCUUCAUCAGGAAUUUCUCUUGCAUCCUCAGAAAGUUCCUCAUCACGUUUGUGCCGUCUUUGGUGGAAUCUGCCAGGUCUCCAUUUCCUUUUCUCCCUUACGUUGUCUAAAUCCCAGGACUCUUGGCUUCUAUCCUCAUCGGGAAUUUCUCUCGCAUCCUCGGAAAGUUCCUCAUCACGUUUCCCUCUUCUUUGGUGAUACCUCCCGGGUUUCCAUUUCCUCUUCUCAAUUCCAUCGCCUAAAUCCCAGGACUCCUGACUGCGUUCUUCAUCGGGAAUUUCCAUUGCGUCCUCAGAAAGUUCCUCAUCACGUUUGCGAUUUCUUAAGUAGUAUCUACCAUGAGGUCUCCAUUUCCUCUUCUCAAUUCCAUCGCCUAAAUCCCAGGACUCUUGGCUUCUGUCCUCAUCAGGAAUCUCUUUUGCGUCCUCAGAAAGUUCCUCAUCACGUUUGCGAUUUCUUAAGUAGUAUCUACCAUGAGGUCUCCAUUUCCUUUUCUCUCUUACGUUGUCUAAAUCCCAGGACUCUUGGCUGCGAUCCUCAUCAGCGUUCUCUUUUGCGUCCUCAGAAAGUUCCUCAUCACGUUUCCCUCUUCUUUGGUGAUACCUCCCGGGUUUCCAUUUCCUCUUCUCAAUUCCAUCGCCUAAAUCCCAGGACUCUUGACUGCGGUCUUCAUCUUGCUCGUCCUUUACGUCCUCAGAAAGAUCCUCAUCACGUUUGCGAUUUCUUAAGUAGUACCU
ensembl:lncRNA